ACUUAGAUGGAGAUAUAAGGACCAGACGUUGUGUGCGUGCAUUACGGUGUCUGUAACCACACCCCUUCUCCUGUUGAGGUGCUUUCCUGAUUUGCCGGCCCUGUAUUCCUAGCCUUCCCUCUGACGCUCGCCUUCGGUAUGUCCUUGUCCCUGCAUGUUCAGUGAGGAACCGUACUUCGCCGCUGACCUCGUCGUUCCAGUUAUAACUGUUAAGCCUCAUCUGCUUAGCCAGUGAGACUCCGUGACCGUGCUGAAGGGCCUGAUCACAAAGGUGCUGCUGUUUUGU